CAGCAUGCAGAGGUGGAACAGCUGCUGUCUGUGAGCCUGACACCAUCUAAUCCGGCAGACAUGUUAACUGCAGGCCUCGUGGUCGGACUGCUCGGUGCCCUCAUCUCGGGUCAGCGAGCGGAGCUCCUCGGUGCCACUGUUGGAGGCUCUGUGCUGGUUCCCUGUAAACUCCCAGCUUCACUAAG